AGCUCCAAUAGCGUAUAUUAAUGUUGCUGCAGUUGAAAAGCUCGUAGUUGGAUCUUGGGCCUCGUCGACUGGUGGUUGCCUACCGGCGAUCUUACCACGUGCGUGCGAGCGCCCCUCGGUCGAGCUCCGUCGGAUAGCCUUAACCGGCCGUCUGAGGCGCCCGACCAGUUUACUUUGAAAAAAUUAGAGUGUUCAAAGCAGGCUCAUCCACAGCCCGAAUAAAUGUGCAUGGAAUAAUGGAAGAAGACCUUUCGGUUCUCUCUUUCGUUGGUUUCCGGAACCGAGGUAAUGAUUAAAAGGGACAGCCGGGGGCAUUAGUACUGCUACGCGAGAGGUGAAAUUCUUGGACCGUAGCAUGACUAACUACAGCGAAAGCAUUUGCCAAGAAUGUUUUCAUUAA
rnacentral:rRNA from 1 species